GACGAACGCUGGCGGCGUGCCUAAUACAUGCAAGUCGAACGGUCUUUUCUAUGGAAGCUUGAUUCCGCUGAGAAGAUAGUGGCGAACGGGUGAGUAACACGUGGGUAACCUGCCCAUAAGAGGGGGAUAACAUCCGGAAACGGGUGCUAAUACCGCAUAGUUUUCUUGAUCGCAUGAUCGAGAAAGGAAAGACGGCCUUUGUGCUGUCACUUAUGGAUGGACCCGCGGCGUAUUAGUUAGUUGGUGAGGUAACGGCUCACCAAGACGAUGAUACGUAGCCGACCUGAGAGGGUGAUCGGCCACAUUGGGACUGAGACACGGCCCAAACUCCUACGGGAGGCAGCAGUAGGGAAUCUUCCGCAAUGGACGAAAGUCUGACGGAGCAACGCCGCGUGAGUGAAGAAGGUUUUCGGAUCGUAAAACUCUGUUGUCAGAGAAGAACAAGUCGGAGAGUAACUGCUCCGGUCUUGACGGUAUCUGACCAGAAAGCCACGGCUAACUAUGUGCCAGCAGCCGCCGUAAGAC
rnacentral:rRNA from 1 species